rnacentral:rRNA from 1 species
AGUGAACGCUGGCGGUAGGCUUAACACAUGCAAGUCGAACGGCAGCACAGUAAGUGCUUGCUCCUACGGGUGCCAAGUGGCGGAUGGGAGAGGAAUACACCGGAACUUACUUUUUCGUGGGGGUUAACGUCGGGAAAUUUUAGUUAAUACCGCAUUCCACCUGCGGGUGAAAGCAGGGGAUCUUCGGCCCUUGCGGGUUUGAAUGAGCCUAUGUCGGAUUUGCUAGUUGGAGGGGUAAAGGCCCACCACGGCGACGAUCCGUAGCUGGUCUGAGAGGAUGGCCAGCCUGACUGGGACUGAGACACGGUCCAGACUCCGACGGGAGGCAGCAGUGUGGAAUAUUGGGCAAUGGGCGCAAGCCUAAUACAGGCAUACCGCGGGUGUGGAGAAGGCCUUUGGGUUAUAAAGGCCUUUUGUUUGGAAAGAAAAUCAGCAGAUGAAUACCCCGUUGUUCUGACGGUACUCGAAGAAUAAGCACCGGCUAACUACGUG